rnacentral:SRP_RNA from 1 species
UCGUGCUAAACGGGGAGUUAGCGGUGCCCUGAACCUGCAAUCCGCUAUAGCAGGGUCUAAUUCCUACCAGAGGCUUUCCUCUGUGAGGUCUGCCCUAUGCAAGUGACGAUGAGAAUCGGGUCUUACGCAAUGAAAGGCUGUGAACCCCGUCAGGUCCGGAAGGAAGCAGCGGUAAGCAGAUUAUUUCAUGUGCCGUGAGGUUGCCUGGUUUGAGUUAACUACACAGGUAACGCUUGUAGAUGCAUGUCGAAGGUAGGUGCACGG